rnacentral:rRNA from 1 species
UUCCGUAGGUGAACCUGCGGAAGGAUCAUUACCACACUGAUAGAUCCAAACGAUCUUUAUACCUUGUGUUUCAGUUAUGGAGCAUGAGAUUUUUAUAUGUGAAUGUAUCUUUUUCAUUACAUAAACAACAACAUUUAUUACAAUAAAUAUUUUCUUAUUAGAGAAAAACCAAAAUAUCUUACAACUUACAGCGACGGAUAUCUUGGCUCUCGCAACGAUGAAGAACGCAGCGAAAUGCGAUACGUAAUGUAAAUUGCAGUCUUAGUGAAUCAUCAAAAUUUUGAACGCAAGUUGCACUUCCGGGUUUUCCUGGAAGUAUGCUUGUUUCAGUGUCCGUAAACCUCACUCACAUCAUUGUAUGUGGAUUAUGACUGUUUUUUCCUUUGUUUAUGAUACAGAGGAAAUCAGUUGAAAUGUUAUGGGUGUUGAAUGUGAUUUCAAACGCUUUUUUAGAUCAACAUAACUAGUUUGUCUUUAUUGACGAAAUAUAACCUUGUUGAAUCCAAUCUAAAAUCACAAUUGAAUCCAUCACAAACUCAACCUCAAAACACACAAAUAAACUCGGAUCUGAAAUCAAGCAAGAGGACCCGCUGAAUUUAAGCAUAUC